rnacentral:rRNA from 1 species
CCUACGGGGCGCAGCAGUGAGGAAUAUUGGUCAAUGGGCGUAAGCCUGAACCAGCCAAGUCGCUUGCGUUAUUACUUUUCUAUUUAUCGUAAACCUCUUUUAUAAGGGAAUAAAGUGUGGGACGUGUCCUAUUUUGUAUGUACCUUAUGAAUAAGGAUCGGCUAACUCCGUGCCAGCAGCCGCGGUAAUACGGAGGAUCCGAGCGUUAUCCGGAUUUAUUGGGUUUAGAGGGUGCGUAGGCGGGCUUUUAAGUCAGCGGUGAAAGUCUGUGGCUCAACCAUAGAAUUGCCGUUGAAACUGGGGGGCUUGAUGAUGUUUGAGGCAGGCGGAAUGCGUGGUGUAGCGGUGAAAUGCUUAGAUAUCACGCAGAACCCCGAUUGCGAAGGCAGCCUGCCAAGCCAUGACUGACGCUGAUGCACGAAAGCGUGGGGAUCAAACAGGAUUAGAUACCCUUGUAGUC